rnacentral:misc_RNA from 1 species
AACCUAGCACACCUGCGGUGUGUACCUGCGGAAGGAUCAUUAACGAGGAGCGAGAUGGGGGGGCCAGGGAGCCAAGGGCCCUCUUACUGCAGGCAGGCGGGGCGCUACUUAGAACCCGCCUGGCUCAGGGGAGGGUGGACAAGAAAUCCCUCCCUUGCCCUUACCAUGAACGUCCACAACCCGUGUCUACCUAACCCUGUUGCCUCGGCGGGCCGCGCCGUCCACACAUGGCCGACCCGG